rnacentral:rRNA from 1 species
UACGUAGGUGGCGAGCGUUGUCCGGAUUUACUGGGCGUAAAGAGCGCGCAGGCGGUCGUUCAAGUCGCGUGUGAAAGCCCCCGGCUCAACUGGGGAGGGUCACGCGAUACUGAUCGACUCGAAGGCAGGAGAGGGUAGUGGAAUUCCCGGUGUAGUGGUGAAAUGCGUAGAUAUCGGGAGGAACACCAGUGGCGAAGGCGACUACCUGGCCUGUUCUUGACGCUGAGGCGCGAAAGCGUGGGGAGCGAACAGG